rnacentral:miRNA from 1 species
UUGUGAACCUUGAUAUUGAGU